AGCGCAAAUUGCUCUAUCGCUGCGCAUCAAAUAAAUUUGAUGCGGAGAGGAAAGUCCGGGCAACACAGGGUACCUUGCUUCCUAACGGGAAGGUCCCGAUUUGCUAUCGGGAACAGAAAGUGCUACAGAAAACAAACUACCUCCAAGGAAUUGGCGGAAAAGGUGAAAAUGUGAGGUAAGAGCUCACAACUUUGUAUGGCGACAUACAUCGUGGUAAACCUCAGGGGUUGAAAGGCCAAAUAAGUCUCGAUUUUGGAGUUACCCGUUCCAAUUGUUCAUUCAAUAUCGAGAUGGGUAGGCCGAUAGAUCAUAACAGCAAUGUUAUGGCAAGAUAAAUGAUAGAGACAUACUGGUUAAUUCAGGAUGACAGAACCCGGCUUACAAAUUUGCAUUUUUA
rnacentral:RNase_P_RNA from 1 species